UUGGAAAAGUGAAAGAGUCCCUACACAAGCAUCUUGUGGUUGGAGAGGUAUGGCCAAAUGUCACACUUAGCACUCAAAGAUUUAUCAAAAUUGGAUAAGCUCUUUAUGGGUCCCCAAAUUCUUCUCAAGAAACUCACUUUCUUGAACAAGAAUUAUUAGACUCCCAUUAUUAAAUUCUCACUCCCCACUCAGUGAUGAUCAGUAAGCAUCUCAAGCUGUAUAUAAGACCCACACUGAAUUCCCCAAGACUUUAAGAAGCAAAGAACCUAACAAAGCUAAGCAAAGCAUAAAGAAGAGACUUUGUUCCAAAGCUAAUCAAAGAGUAAAAUAUGUCUGCAAAUGAGUUACCUUCUUCUUCAGCUCAAGCCUUCCAAGAGCAAUCCCUUGGCGGUUUUGUCUCUAGAAAGCUGCUUCUGCACAACCCAUUUGACCAUAACACUCAACGAUCCUUUGCGGUUGCACCAUCUGCUCUCAAUUCCCAUGAGAAAAACCUCAGUGGGAAUGUCCUGAUGCUUCUCUCUGUCCUCAUCUGCGGCAUCAUCUGUUGCCUCGGGUUACAUUACAUCAUUCGUUGUGCAUUCAGACGUACUUCAAGUUUCAUGAUCUCCGAUCCUAUCUCUGGUCUUUCAACACCACGAGGUUCAUCAGAGAAAGGAAUCAGUAAGAAAGCUCUUAGGAUGUUCCCAGUUGUGAGUUACUCACCUGAGAUGAACUUACCAGGGCUCGGCGAAGAGUGUGUCAUUUGUUUGUCAGAUUUUGUUUCCGGUGAACAGAUUAGGAUGCUCCCUAAGUGCCACCAUGGGUUCCAUGUUCGUUGCAUUGACAAGUGGCUUCAACAACAUUUGACUUGCCCCAAAUGCAGACACUGUCUGGUUGAGACAUGCCAAAAGAUCUUAGGUGACUUCAGUCAAGUUAAUCAAGUGGCAGCAGCACCAACAGAGAGCAUAAUUAUCAGAAUUGCUCCUCUAGAACCUGAAGGAAGAGUAAAUACUUUAAGAGAAAGCAGCUAGAUGGCAAGAGAGGCAGAAACCAUCAAAAGUUAUCAGAAUUUGUGCUUUUUAGUUAGGUAGAAGAUUUUUUUUGAUUUUGAGCACAAUUCAUGCCUUUAGCCACUUGAGAAAAACAAAUAACUCAUUUUUUUUUGUCUUUCGUUUUUGCCUGUAUCACAAAAGUGUAUACAGAGAGAAUAUAUCUCACGAGUUCAUCAAAGUUCUUUUUGCAAAUACAUGUUUAACGGUGAAAUGUGAAUUAGUCUUUUUUAUCCAAAAACAUUAAGAAUCAUCUACAACCAAAGACUGAUAAGUGCUAGUUCAUGUAUGCUUAUGUGACACAGUCACUACACAGAAUCAAAGAGUCAGUAGACAGAAUAAAUGGUUUCCGGUAAUGAAUGCCAAGGUUUUUGUGUAGUAGUGUUUUGUCUACAUGAUGCAUAUACGGUGCAGACCUGGUCACGUGUAUGCUUGAUAGUUAGAAAUGCAUAAAGUUAGUGAAGAAACAAUGCAUCUAUCAACUUGACUCGACCCACUUAAAUACUACCUAUAUGCCUAAAAACACCAAUUCACAAAUGAGUCAUCAAGAUAGCCUAUACCAGACGAUUCUUCAUCGUAAUGAUAAAGAAAAACUAUCAUUGCCAGAGGAAAGUGAUAUACUGAUAUGGACCCAACCCACAAUAAGAUAAGCCAACUGAUCUUAGUUUAUAGGUAAAAUUCAGAACUAAAGCUAGUUUGGGGGAUGCAUCAUCUUGUAAGGUUCUUAACUGCCAGUCAAGUGAUAAACCUACUAUCCUAUGGGAAUAGCCUUGACACAAGACAACCUAUGCCACGAUAUAUUAUCGAAAAUUUAGAGUUGUUCUGUAGUAGAUAGGUAUACCCACAGGUCACAUACAAAAAAUCUGAAUGAGGAGAAGCAUCCAAUUAUUGUCAUCACAAGUGUCUCUUGCUCUACUCCGACAGUUGAUACCUCAAAAUAUACUCACCCUAUCAUUUAUCAUGUAUCGUUUAUCAUAUACUCACCUUCCGUCUAGAUUUAGUAUACUCAAAUCUAUUGCUUUUCUGUCUUUUCUCCCCAACAGGCGCUCAUCAUGCAUACACUACCUAGUGCAAGAUGUUGUCAUGAUAAAAUGAACCAAGAAAAGGCUAAGCCUAAUGAUUCAGAUAUGAAAAGAGAAACAGAACUAGAAACUUGGCCACUUUGACUCUCUGUGAUAAAAAAAAAAAAAAAUCGUGCAAAUAUAAGAUAACACAUGGAGUGAUUAACUAGAUAUAUAACUAGAUAUCAUAGUUAUUUUCAUAGAUUCUCAAGAUAUCAGAGUCCGAAUCCUGAUAUGAGUGACAUCAAACAAGCUGGAAUCCACAACCCAUUGUAAAAAAAAAAACUACUAAUAACUUGAUCUAGUUAAGGACCACAAGUUAUAACUACGAGAUUUUGGAGAUCCUGUAAUUUAAAAGGGAGCAACAUGUCAUAAACAAGGUUAUCAAAAUAAAAGACAGGUCAUAUACAAGGUUAUCAAAACAAAAGACAUGCCAUAAAAUAAUGAUGGUUCAAAUAAGACUUAAGAUCCUAGGCAUUUCUGAUUGGAUUAAAGACAAAUAAAGUGUAGGAAAGUUCAAUUUAAUAAGCAAAUCCCGGCUUAAAAGAAAUGGGAAUUUAAUAGUGAGUGAGGCCGUGCACAAAAAGAAAGGGUUAUUGGUUAAUAACAGAAGACUGUGGUUAACAGGUAGCAUAUCUGCAUUAAGCAUCUGCGGGAUAUCCGAUCAUAUCCAAUAAUAUGCCAUUGAGAGUGUAAAAACUACUAUAAAGUAACUUUUAAGUGCAACUUUUAUCCGUGAUAAAUUGCAAAUCUAGCUUAAGUAAUGCCCUUACCAAAACAGCUUAUAGCCUGAAACAGUAUAACUCUCUCAAUAACUGAGGGCUUUCUAGAAAUUUGCCAUGAAUCUACUACUGGAACAACCAUAAGGGAUCAAUGCAGUUACCAAAUCAUUAUAGGAAAAGUUACAUUCCCAUUGCAAUUAUGAUAAUGUUCUUUUGCUGGGUGAGAACUAUUUUCUCUACUAUUGACAGAGUUAAAAGUAGGACAGUGUAAAUACACAAGCACUAGAGGAUAAUGAUAGCUUUGGAAGAUAAUGUAUAGAAAUACCAUCUAAGUGCUUUAAGAAAAUUCUGGCCACUUGUUGUUCUAAAGACCUCAAUCAAUAUGAUAAGAUUCAUGUCUACACUUUUUUCUAAUAUAAUACAUGUAGUAGCUAAUAAUUCAAAUAGAGAAAGUUUGGCAACAUACCGUUAGAAAGCAAAAGGACUGUACACAAAAGGCUGUGCCUAUUCAUCCUCAAAAUGAAAUUCCCUACAUUGUCAAAACAUAACAGAAACACAAAAACAAAGAGAUAUUUAGUAGGAAUGAUGAACAAAUAGAUAUUUACUUAAAAGUUCAUUAAAAGAUUGGAGAAUGAAUGAUUAAAUAAUUGUUCAACCAAAGAAAGUCAAUAAUGAUACAUAUAUGAUAGGACUGAAGCUCUUUGUUUCAGUAUUUUAACUUUCUAGCCAAAGUGUAAUCUUCCUACCACUACGUCAUGAAAGCAUCCACAGAAAAACUCUUACCUGCCUAUUCUCAUUUCUUACCAAGUAGCGUUAUUUUCACCUCAACAGAACCAUUUAUAUGAAGACAUGUAGCUACUUGGUAAUAUAAAAAAAAGAAUGAAUGGCAAACUUAAAAAACAUAUUAUAAUGAAUAUAAAGUGAAAUCCAUCUCAUCAGAUAUCAAUAAUCAAUACAAGACAAACUGAUAAACAGAGUUUUUUUUUAACAUAAAGUGACACCAAAAGAACUAAUUUAAAAACCAAUUUCCCUACACAAGCAUCUUGUGGUUGGAGGUGGUCUGGGCCAACGACACAAUCAGCACUCAAGGAUUAAGGGAAUUGGAUAAGCUCUUUCUGGGUCCCAAAUACUCUCAACUCUCAUUUGAAAAAAGAAGAAAGACCACUUUUUAAAACAAAAUUAUUAGUGUCCAAUUAUAUAAUUCUCAGUCUCCACUAAGUAAUCAGUAAGCAUCUCAAGGUAUAUAUAAGACCACAUUGAAUUCCCCAAAAAUUUAAGAAGCAAUAACCAAAAAAAGCCAAGCAAAGCAGAGAGAGGAAAUUCUGACUUAAAGCGUUUUUCAAGAGUAAAAAAUGUCUGCAAAUGAGUUACCUUCUUCAGCUCAGUCCUUCCAACAACAAUUCCUUGGCGGUUUUGUCUCUAGAAAGCUUCUUCUGCACAACCCAUUUGACCAAAACUCUCAACGAGACU
rnacentral:lncRNA from 1 species